GACGAACGCUGGCGGCGUGCCUAAUACAUGCAAGUAGAACGCUGAAGAGAGGAGCUUGCUCUUCUUGGAUGAGUUGCGAACGGGUGAGUAACGCGUAGGUAACCUGCCUUGUAGCGGGGGAUAACUAUGGGAAACGGUAGCUAAUACCGCAUAACAAUGGAUGACACAUGUCAUUUAUUUGAAAGGGGCAAUUGCUGCACUACAAGAUGGAUCUGCGUUGGAUUAGCUAGUAGGUGAGGUAAUGGCUCUCCUAGGCGACGAUACAUAGCCCACCUGAGAGGGGUAGCGGCCACACCUGGACUGAGACACGGCCCCGACUCCUACGGGAGGCAGCAGUAGGGAAUCCUUCGCAAUGGGGGGAACCCUUACCGAGCCACGCCGCGUGAGUGAAGAAGGUUUUCGGAUCGUAAAGACCCUUUGUAAGUCAAGAACGGGAGUGAGAGUGGAAAGUUCACACUGUGACGGUAGCUUACCAGAAAGGGACGGCUAACUACGUG
rnacentral:rRNA from 1 species